AGCCGCAGCAGCAGCAUUGGCAGCAGUAGGUGCUGCCGUCGCCGACCACGGGACAAAAUGGCUGGAGGAGGCGGAAGCGUCUGCGAAGCUCUGGCUCCUAGGAUGGAGAUCAUAGAAAUGAAUGAUGAAUUAAGAAGAACAGGCAAGAAACUGUGAAUGGAUUGAACGUAUUUUUGGAAGAAAAUGGCAAAGAAGUCAUCACCGACAUGGGAAAGAAAUGAAAGCGACUGGAAUGCUUUGGACUCCUUUGACAUUCUCCCUUAACUUUUCAAGUUUUAUAUAUUAAAGUAAAUAUAACGGCCAAAUGAAAAUAUUUCACAGUGCUCUUUUUUAUCACCAAUACAUUAAUCAUUAAUAUUGAUUUUGUAAUUGUCUUAAAAUUUCACUGUUAUAAAAUUUAAAAAUUGUUAUCAAAGAUAUUUAAAUUACUAGAAUGGGGUCAGCUCUUUUACUCAGGACAUUUUUAGUGGUUUGUGGUGUAUAUUAUGUUUUAAAAACAAACAAAAUCCUCAAACUAUAGUUACAUUUAUAGUAUUCACAAAUUUUGGUAACUUUCACAUGUUUUAAGUUAGUGAUUAUAGAGAAUUUAUUAUAAAUAAUACUGAAUUUCCUCAUGGUGGCCUUGGAUUACAUAUGGCUACAGAUUAGCUAGAGUACUUGUCAAAAUAAAUUAUAAGCUCAAGCUUCAUUAUCAUUUGUAGCUUAAACAUAGUGAAUCUGAUACGGCGUUCCUUCAUAAUUUUGAUGCUCUUUGCAGUAAAUUUGAUAUAGAACAGUUGCUAACGAAACCCAGUUCAGAUGUGUGACCAUUUUUAUGGAAAACAUCUGGGGUAAUUAUAAUUAGUUCAGGAUGUGUACUGUUUAAAAAUAAUCUUGAAUUCAUGGAGAAAGAAGCGUAUCUUUUCCUCAAUGACUAGAAUAAUCCAAGUUAGUAUAAAAAAAAUUCUUUAAGUUAUUGGUAGCUAUGCUUAGAGUAUAAUUUUAGAGUAUUCCAAAAGGAAAUAAUGAGUACGUUUUAUGUAAAAUGCCAAAUUGGCACUUUACACCUGUUAGUGCGUUUCGUUUAGAACAGCUGUGUCUUUUAUUAUCAGUAAACAGAUGGAGAAAGUAAUGGAAUGUUUUAAAGCAAUAUGUUAAUCCUGUCUUCCACUACUGAACUGUCUCACAAUAUAGUGAUUAAAUAUUGACUGUGCAGCUGUUACUUACAAUUAUAGAAUUUCUUAGUUAAUUUCUCCUUCCCAUGCCCAAAUGUUUUAAUAUUUAGAGAUCUAAUUUCUAAUGUAGUUUGUUUAUUACAAUUUGAUUUCUAAAGAUAAGUUAUUUGUUAUGGAGACAAAUUAAUAUGCUCAUAAAGUUCUUAUUUUUUUUUUUGGUAAUUGACUAAUAUUCUAGGCAGGAUAAACAAUUUUUAAGUAUUUUUAAAACUAAAUUGUUUAUGAGUAUGAAGGUAAUUAUUAAAUAUGACAAAUUUUGUUUAAUUUUACGCUUGAAAACUGCCACCAAUGAGCUAAAGAGGAAAUAAUGGUUCUUUUAUCAAAUAUUUAUGAAGCAGAGUACAUAAUACUUUCUUAGAAUAAUGAGUAUAUUCAGGCAAAACACCCUGCAAGUUAUUUCAAUUCUAGUAGCCCUUUUGCAGUUUAAUUAUAUUUUAUUCCUCACAUCUCACUUUGUCACAAAAUAUAUUUUAGAUACCACUUCAGUAUUUAUCACUUUUAUACUUAAGCUUGAGGAACAACUGUAUUAGCUAAGAUUAUUAUUAUGACUAAUGGCUAACAUUUAUCGUGCUCUUAAUAUCUGAAAGGUAUUGUGCAAAGAACUUUAUAUGUAUUGUAACAUUCUUGCCCCUUUUAGUAGGUGAGGAAAUUCAAUCUUAAGAGACAUGAAGUAAAUUGACUAAGGUCUUCCAGUUGGGAAGUGGUAGAGAUUGCUUUUAAACGCAGGCAUUUUCACUCUCAAGCCUCUUGUUCUUAACGACUUUGCAUUUUUCCUGCCUUUAGCAUCUAAUGUCAACAUUAUACAGAGGGGUAAUUUUUUGAAGCCCUGUGUGCACCCCCAAGUGAUAAUUAUAUCAUUUAGUCCUCUUGCCUAAAAAGAAAACACAAUCAAAACAUGUAUGGAAAGAUGGAGCGCUCCAAUUCUUGGUACCUCACCGCAUGAUGACUGUGUCAGUGCUCUGCCAACAUCAUCAGGAAUGUCCCGUAACACAGGUAUCGUGACAUAGUUUACACCAGAAAGGUUUUCAAAUACCGCUUUAUAAUUUUACUCUAAUUGUGCCACUUUGUGGAGACAACUCUAACAAUCUAUUUCCCUUCCCAAAAAGAACCUGUCUUUGGUUCAAAAGAUUUUAAAGAGCAACAUGAUGUAGUUUCUACCUAUGUUAUAUUAUUUUAUUUAUACCUUAACCUAGAAUUGAACUAUCAUUUAUUGUUGAAACUCAUUAAAUGACUGAUAUCUGUCAGAUAUUAUUAUUAACUACUUAACAUACUCAGUUUAUUGUGUCAUUUUUCGUAGGAAGUAUCCCAUUUUAUAUAUGAAGAAACUAAGACUCAGAGGUAGUAAAUAAAUUGGUCAAGAUCACAGCUAGCAAAUGAUGUUUGUAAGCAUUUGAUUUUUUUCUUUAAAAAUCUACAUGGAAAUCUAAAAGUGUCCAGCUAAUUAUUUUUGUAGAGAGCCUUAAGAUUUCCAUCUCUAACAGAUGGCUACUUGUAGUUUCCCUUGACACUGAUGAGAAUGCUUAUAAGAUUAACUAGGAUCAGCAAUGUCAUGAGGUAUUGCUGGAAAAAAUUUAAUAUAGUAGAAAUGCAUUAUAAGGUUGUUCUUAAGAGGCAAAACAUUGUUGCAUGCAAGCUGUCGGAAGUAUCAAAAGAAGAACAGACACAUCUUUUUCAUGUUACCAGAGCCUUAAAUGAAUAAAGAUUUUACAAUUUUGAUAAAUUUAAUCAGCUGUCCUAUAGUUAUCCAACAUUAAUAUUUUAUUCAGAUUAUUUUUAUGAGUGUCUCCAUCAAAACGAACUACCUAACACAGAGAAUGCAAGAGAUAAACAAUAAAAUUAUUAUUUUGUAUAGUACAGAGAUCAGUUUGAAUUAUUCGGUAGUUUGGUUUUUUCUUUAUGAUUUUGAAGAUUUUUUUUAAAUGAAAAAUUAUUUUGAGAUAAUUAUAGAUUUACAUGCAAUUUUAAGAAAUAAUACAGAGAGAUCCCAUGUACCCUUUACCCACUUCCCCUCAGUGGUAACAUAUUGCAGAACUAUGUAGUACAAUAUCCCAGCUAGGACAUUGAUGCUGAAAUAAUCGAGAUACAGAACAUUUCCAUCACCACAAGGAUUCCUCGUGUAAAGCUUACACAGCCACAUCUACUUCCUUUCCACAUCUUUCCUUUAACCCUGAAAACAACUAAUCUGUUCUCUAUUUUGAUAAUAUUAUCAUUUCAAGAAUGUUAUGUAAAUGGAACCAUACAGUGUGUAACCUUUUGGGAUUGACUUUUUUUUCACUCAUCAUGAUUCUGUGGAAUUUCAUUCAGGUUGUUGCACGUAUCAGUAGCUUGUUCUUUUUUAUUGCUGACUAGUAUUUCAUAAUAUGGAUGUACCACUGUUUGUGUAACCAUUCACCCAUUAAAGGACAUCUGGGUUGUUUCCAAAACAACAUAAAUUUGGUUUCUUCCACAGUACUAAAGUUUUGUACUUUUCCAUUUUUAUGCUUAAGUCCGUGACUAAUUUUGAAUUAAUAUUUGUAUAAGAUGUGAAACUUAGGUCCAGGCUUUUGUUUUGUUUUGUCUUUGUGGGGGCAAGGGACUAAUGGACACUAAAUUAGUCCAGCACCAUUUGUUGAAACUUUAUUUGCUCCACUGAAUUGCUUUUGCACCUUAGUAAAAAUAAAAAUCAGUUGAGCAC
rnacentral:lncRNA from 1 species